rnacentral:other from 1 species
AUUGCUCUGUACGGGUGUUAAUUUUGUUCCUACAUUUUAUUAACAGGGAGAAUUGACUCUGACGGAUUUGAAGUAUACCCGCCAAAUAAUUUAUUUGCCAGCGGGAAACGGAGUAAUCCGGGGCGUUCACCCACCUGCGAGACCACGCAGGUAACAAAAUCGCAUCUGUACGGAGUUUUU